AGGACGAACGCUGGCGGCGUGCUUAACACAUGCAAGUCGAACGGAAAGGCCCUUCGGGGUACUCGAGUGGCGAACGGGUGAGUAACACGUGGGUGAUCUGCCCUGCACUUUGGGAUAAGCCUGGGAAACUGGGUCUAAUACCGAAUAGGACCACGGCAUGCAUGUGCUGUGGUGGAAAGCUUUUGCGGUGUGGGAUGGGCCCGCGGCCUAUCAGCUUGUUGGUGGGGUGAUGGCCUACCAAGGCGACGACGGGUAGCCGGCCUGAGAGGGUGUCCGGCCACACUGGGACUGAGAUACGGCCCAGACUCCUACGGGAGGCAGCAGUGGGGAAUAUUGCACAAUGGGCGCAAGCCUGAUGCAGCGACGCCGCGUGGGGGAUGACGGCCUUCGGGUUGUAAACCCUUUCAGUAGGGACGAAGCGCAAGUGACGGUACCUACAGAAGAAGCACCGGCCAACUACGCGCCAGCAGCCGC
rnacentral:rRNA from 1 species